rnacentral:rRNA from 1 species
UACAGAGGUCUCAAGCGUUGUUCGGAUUCAUUGGGCGUAAAGGGUGCGUAGGCGGCGCGGUAAGUCGGGUGUGAAAUCUUGGAGCUUAACUCCGAAACUGCAUUCGAUACUGCCGUGCUUGAGGACUGGAGAGGAGACUGGAAUUUACGGUGUAGCGGUGAAAUGCGUAGAUAUCGUAAGGAAGACCGGUGGCGAAGGCGGCUAUCUGGACGAUGACUGACGCUGAGACGCGAAAGCGUGGGGAGCAAACAGG